rnacentral:rRNA from 1 species
AGCAGCCGCGGUAAUUCCAGCUCCAAUAGCGUAUAUUAAAGUUGUUGCAGUUAAAAAGCUCGUAGUUGAAUUUCGGGAUCAAUAUGUCGGUCGUGCCUCCGGUACGUACUGGCGUUAUUGGUUUCUCCCUUCUGACGAACCACGAUGUCAUUAAUUUGGUGUCAUGGGGAAUCAGGACUGUUACUUUGAAAAAAUUAGAGUGUUUAAAGCAGGCUCACGCUUGAAUACAUUAGCAUGGAAUAAUGAAAUAGGACGUUUGAUUCUAUUUUGUUGGUUUCUAGGAUCGACGUAAUGAUUAAUAGGGAUAGUUGGGGGCAUUAGUAUUCAAUUGUCAGAGGUGAAAUUCUUGGAUUUAUUGAAGACUAACUACUGCGAAAGCAUUUGCCAAGGAUGUUUUCAUUAAUCAAGAACGAAAGUUAGGGGAUCGAAGACGAUCAGAUACCGUCGUAGUCUUAACCAUAAACUAUGCCGACUAGGGAUCGGAUGAUGUUAAUUUUUUAAUGACUCAUUCGGCGCCUUACG